rnacentral:rRNA from 1 species
UGCAAGUCAAGGGGGCCCAGCAAUGGGCAACCGGCGAACGGGUGCGUAACACGUGAGCAACCUACCGAACUGUGGGGGAUAGCCGGCCUAACGGCCGAGUAAUACCGCAUACGCUUUCAGUGAGGCAUUUCAUUGAAAGGAACCCUACGGGACAGAUCGAGGGGCUCGCGGCCUAUCAGCUAGUUGGCGAGGUAACGGCUCACCAAGGCAACGACGGGUAGCUGGUCUGAGAGGAUGGCCAGCCACAUUGGGACUGAGAUACGGCCCAGACUCCUACGGGAGGCAGCAGUGGGGAAUCUUGCGCAAUGGCCUAACGGCUGACGCAGCGACGCCGCGUGCGGGAUGAAGCUCUUCGGAGUGUAAACUUCUUUUGGAGAGGAUGAAUGCCUACGUGAAUAACGUAGGGUGACAGUACUCUCGGAAUAAGCCACGGCUAACUACGUGCCAGCAGCCGCGGUAAUACGUAGGUGGCAAGCGAUACUCGGAAUCACUAGGCGUAAAGCGCAGGUAGGCGGUUUGGUAAGUCUUUUGUGAAAGCUCCCGGCUCAACUGGGAGAGGUCAAAGGAAACUACCGGACUAGAGUGUGGUAGGGGAUACUGGAAUUCCUGGUGUAGCGGUGAAAUGCGUAGAUAUCAGGAGGAAUACCUAUGGCGAAAGCAGGUAUCUGGGCCA